GAUGAACGCUGGCGGCGUGCCUAAUACAUGCAAGUCGAGCGAACGGACGAGAAGCUUGCUUUUCUGAUGUUAGCGGCGGACGGGUGAGUAACACGUGGAUAACCUACCUAUAAGACUGGGAUAACUUCGGGAAACCGGAGCUAAUACCGGAUAAUAUUUUGAACCGCAUGGUUCAAAAGUGAAAGACGGUCUUGCUGUCACUUAUAGAUGGAUCCGCGCUGCAUUAGCUAGUUGGUAAGGUAACGGCUUACCAAGGCAACGAUGCAUAGCCGACCUGAGAGGGUGAUCGGCCACACUGGAACUGAGACACGGUCCAGACUCCUACGGGAGGCAGCAGUAGGGAAUCUUCCGCAAUGGGCGAAAGCCUGACGGAGCAACGCCGCGUGAGUGAUGAAGGUCUUCGGAUCGUAAAACUCUGUUAUUAGGGAAGAACAUAUGUGUAAGUAACUGUGCACAUCUUGACGGUACCUAAUCAGAAAGCCACGGCUCACUACGUG
rnacentral:rRNA from 1 species